rnacentral:rRNA from 1 species
GUAGGUGGCAAGCGUUGUCCGGAAUUAUUGGGCGUAGAGCGCGCGCAGGCGGUUCUUUAAGUCUGAUGUGAAAGCCCACGGCUCAACCGUGGAGGGUCAUUGGAAACUGGAGAACUUGAGUACAGAAGAGGAAAGCGGAAUUCCACGUGUAGCGGUGAAAUGCGUAGAGAUGUGGAGGAACACCAGUGGCGAAGGCGGCUUUCUGGUCUGUAACUGACGCUGAGGCGCGAAAGCGUGGGGGGAGCAAACAGGAUUAGAUACCCUGGUAGUCCACGCCGUAAACGAUGAGUGCUAAGUGUUAGGGGGUUUCCGCCCCCCCCUUAGUGCUGCAGCUAACGCAUUAAGCACUCCGCCUGGGAGUACGGCCGCAAGGCUG